AAAACAUCAAAAAAUGUAUUACCUUCUUGUUCGACGUUUGGGGGGUUGACACUCUGGGAAGAAGGUGGCUCAUCCAUUGGUUGUGAUGAGGAUUCCGGGACUGAAGGUUUCUCUUUAAGCGCAGUCCCUUCAUCAGUUGGUUUGGAUGAAGCAGCCUCAGCAGAGGGUGAUGGAGCAGGAACUGCCAACACCAAAGCCUUCAAAGGAGAUGCUGAGCUUUUCUGAGAAAUCCAAAUAAACCAUCAGCACAAAGAAAAGUUUCAAGUAUAGAAAGGUAUGCUUGUGAGUAAACUAAUUUAAUUACCUUUCUCCUGACAAUGAGAGGAGUGUCAUCAUCAUCAUCCUCAAAAAUGGGAGAUGUUGAGGUUGGCCGUUUGCUGCUUAGGGCGCUUUUAGAUGCAGUAGGCUUGGCAGGAAGAGAAGUAGAUGGACGAACAGACUGUUUAGUACGAGCAGAAGAGGAAGGACUCCUAAUGGACACAGGGGUAACCAAAACAGGGGAAAUGGAAAAAAUGUCCGUCUGAUCCAGUGAAUGGAAAGCGCGAUUGGCAUCAGUUGCAAACAAUCUGCGCUGUACUGAUGACCAGAAUUGUUCAAAAAGGGGAUGGAUGACAUGGCUAGGAUUGAAGGGGGCUAAUGAAAAGUUACUCGUCAAAAGAAUAUUGCGAGCAUCUAUAGCUUCUGCCUCUACCUUAUUAAUGGUGUAGAAGCGAUCUAUCAAAUUUCUUGAAUAACAAGGGGGAACAGGCCAAGUUUGACCAAAACCAAGUUGACGAGCAAAAAAUUGGGGAGCAUAUAUUUCAACCCCAGCUUUGACAUUGAUUUCAGUCAAAAUAUCACGGAACAACUCCCUCCCGGUCAAAAACUAAACCCAAACGAGCAGAAAGGUGCUCGCACUGUCCAGGGUAGAUGGGGGUUGCACAUAAUCUGGAGUUAAAAAGGGAGGAAAAUGAAAGAAAGAAGGAAGAAAUUGAAUUCAAAGUAUAAAAGAAUGAAAAGAUGUCCCUUCUGGACAUAUUUACAGGGCUCAGUGGGUCAAUAGCUAGCCCAUAGCAGCUAGCAGAAUGACGGGAAAAUGAUAGAGCACCAAGUGAUGGAAAAUAGGCUCUCAACCACAUUUGAGUGAACCAAAGAGGCCCACUGUCAGUGGGAGAUGCACCAUUCUUCAAUUGGAAUUGGAGAGAAGCCAUGCUUCUAUAGAGGUCGGCAAAAAAAAAGAGCACAAAUUUAGAGGCCUACCACGCGCCAAUUGGUGCGCUAUGGGUAAAUAGCUCAUAGAAGGCUUCAUGCUUGGCACACACAGAACAUAUUUCAAAGCCAAAUCUGAAAAAAGGCCACACGCUCAGCAUGGGAACGCUCAGCGCUCGAAUGAUUAUAGCAGCUUUGCAGGCUUGAAUAGAACUUGGUGAGUUUUCUGUCAAAUUUUGGGGCGACACCAGAAAUCAAAAUAUCAGGGAAAAUGGUAUCGCCCAAAGGUGGUAGAUUUACUAAGGCCCCAAUAUCCCUUAAAGUAAUGGACAUGGGAUCAAGAGGGAAAACAAAAGUAUUAUACUCAGAAGACCAAAAACUUAAAGCAAUAGAGAAAAGCGUUGGAUCAAAAGUAGGGGGUUGAAGAGAGAUUUCUAACAAAUCAGAAAUCCUAGCACUAUCAAAAAUUGCCUUGGUAGGACCAUGGUCCAUAAGGCGAGCAUGCCAUCUACGGAAAACAACAUCAGAUUUAGGCCAAGUGCGAAUACUUCUUUCGCGAAGCGACCUCAACGGCAAAGAGGUCAGAAACGGAAGGCCUUGAGUACAAGGGAACAGCUAGCCUACCGCCACUUGUUCGACGGCCUCGGCGUUGUUAUAUGAAGGACCUAUAUAGAACUCAUUGAGUUCGGCAUUAGCUGGUGCAAGGAAGCUCGGAGUUAUAUAUGGUCGAGUGAGGAUUUUCUGGAAGUCUUCGAAACUGAAAAAGUCACCAGAUUGGGAUUGUGAAGCAGCCAUUAGGAACGAAAUAAAGUUUUGUUGAAGUUUGCUUGAGAAACGUAGCAGAGAAGCAAGAAGAUGAACAGUAAUAUUGUGAGAGAGAAGCGCAGAACAAUGAGGCGUGAUUUAGUAGUGCGAUAAAAUGACGUGUAUUUAGGGGUUAUAAGGGUUUGCAACGUCGCACCUUUUCAGGCUAUGGAAGAAAAUAUUGAUUGAAAUUCUUGAAAAUUUCAAAUGUUGCUGGGAAACACAAAGUGAAUAUGGCAAAAAAUUAAUAAUUGGUAUUAAUUUUGCCAUAUUGGGGGGUAAUUGUUGACACGCUAAAAGUGCAGUCCAAUUCAAAUAGCCCAAAGAAUGAAGCCCAACUGGGCAAUUCAAGAUAAAGGCCCAAAUAGGGUUAUUAAUGAAUGCAGUGGAAGCUCACGAACGCGGUAAUACCAUCGCUCAAACUUGCAAGACGCCCAAAAUCUGAGCGAAUGAAGUGCCUUGCAGUCCCCCAGAGUUAUGACCCCGUUCUCGCCCAAACCUUCGAAUCGCCCAAGAUCUUAGCAAACAUAAGAUAUUAUGGUUAUCCAAAAGUACAGUUAUCGAAACAAUUAUUGGGUAAUCUUAUCACGUUUCACGAUUCAAGGAGUUCAGUUGAAAACGGUUGAACGACAAAGAGUAGUGGCAGCAUUUAGAGACAGCAGUUCCACGAUAAGUUGGCCACUAUGAAGAAAGUGGACAGUUAUAAAGCAAUUAAGUAAUUUCUAAGCGGAUGAUCACAAAGAGAACAUCAAGGGAAUAUAAAAGGAAGAAAAGACAUAGAGCAAAAGGACCUCGAAUCAAACACUCUCAAACAGAGAAUAUGUAAUUUCAAUUCCUUAGUUUAGACUUAAAACAUUUCUUUUCAGUACUCGUGUGCUUGCGCCCCUUGGAGGCAUUCUGUUUAAAUUUCAAUUGUAAAGUCAUCACCAAUAAAACACUCCUUUUUGGGACUUUGUCUCAAGAGGUUUGUUCAUUUUACAAUCGUCUGAUCCCUUUUUAAUUGUUAGCGACAACCCGCGCGAAACAGAGGCAUAAAGCUUCACCAGCUAAUCAGAGGCUCUUUAACCAAAAGACACUCAAAAUCCUUAUCAAGCAAGGUGUCGAUCCGAAUUAGAAACAAUCGCGAUCGUCAAAAAGAAAAGCAAUUAGCCAUUUAAUAUUUAACAGUUAAAAAAAAAAUGCACAAUUAUUGUAAUACAUAAAUCAUCCAUGACAACUUCUAUCUCUAAAUUCUCUCUAAAUUUGGGAGAAUAUUUAUCGCUACCUCUCCUUCCUCUAAUCGUCUUUCAAUUUGGUAAUUUAAGUUUUCUAAUCAAUUUUCAAUUUUUCGCCCAUAUUUCAGUUUUUCCUUUUAUUUUCUUGUUAUUGUCGGGGUUCUAAUAUUUAAUAUAUAGACAUGAAGACAUGCAAUGCAUGCGUUUGUCUCUUGAAGACAUAAUCUUGGUGUGUUAUCCUUUUUUUUUUAUGACGGGAAAAUCACAGCGGCAAUCAUUCGGGUGCAUAGCGAGUACAUCCUCGGGCUGAUGCAAUAGACAGCAAAUGGCAAUAGACAGCAAACCACGUCAACCAGUUAAACCGCACUAGGUAAGUCCUGUGCAAAAAGCUUGACCAAUAAAGUGUUGGUAGGAAAAAUCGAACUCGUAACCCUCCGCGAUCAUCUACUCCACCAACUCGGCCACCGACCUCUUGGUGGGUUUUUGUUGGGUUGUACGUUGUCUGACAGUUCAUCACUUUGAUUACGGUUUCUCUCCUUUUUUGUUUAUUUUUCACAGGAGUUACUAGUUAUUCAUUGGAAUUUAUUGCUGGUAAUUAUUAAAGACGGAAGCGUAGGAAGACCUG
rnacentral:lncRNA from 1 species